GGGGGAGACCGGAUCCUGGGCUGUGUCCCUGGCGCCCUAUACUCCCCGGCCUGCGCUGUUGGAUUCCUGCUCCCGGCCAUGCAGGCCCCU
rnacentral:pre_miRNA from 1 species